rnacentral:rRNA from 1 species
UGAACACGGAGCUUGCUCUGUGGGAUCAGUGGCGAACGGGUGAGUAACACGUGAGCAACCUGCCCCUGACUCUGGGAUAAGCGCUGGAAACGGCGUCUAAUACUGGAUAUGUGACGUGACCGCAUGGUCUGCGUCUGGAAAGAAUUUCGGUUGGGGAUGGGCUCGCGGCCUAUCAGCUUGUUGGUGAGGUAAUGGCUCACCAAGGCGUCGACGGGUAGCCGGCCUGAGAGGGUGACCGGCCACACUGGGACUGAGACACGGCCCAGACUCCUACGGGAGGCAGCAGUGGGGAAUAUUGCACAAUGGGCGCAAGCCUGAUGCAGCAACGCCGCGUGAGGGACGACGGCCUUCGGGUUGUAAACCUCUUUUAGCAGGGAAGAAGCGAAAGUGACGGUACCUGCAGAAAAAGCGCCGGCUAACUACGUGCCAGCAGCCGCGGUAAUACGUAGGGCGCAAGCGUUAUCCGGAAUUAUUGGGCGUAAAGAGCUCGUAGGCGGUUUGUCGCGUCUGCUGUGAAAUCCGGAGGCUCAACCUCCGGCCUGCAGUGGGUACGGGCAGACUAGAGUGCGGUAGGGGAGAUUGGAAUUCCUGGUGUAGCGGUGGAAUGCGCAGAUAUCAGGAGGAACACCGAUGGCGAAGGCAGAUCUCUGGGCCGUAACUGACGCUGAGGAGCGAAAGGGUGGGGAGCAAACAGGCUUAGAUACCCUGGUAGUCCACCCCGUAAACGUUGGGAACUAGUUGUGGGGUCCAUUCCACGGAUUCCGUGACGCAGCUAACGCAUUAAGUU